AGUCUGGCUCUUGUCCCGUGUAGCUCCGCCCCCUGAGGUCCCGUGUGGCCACGCCCCCUCAUCGACACGUAGCCCCGCCCCCUUCUCGGCUGAACACAGCCGUUGUCACUGUGGACUCUGGAGGAGGAGGCUGCUACAACGCAGUAGUAGGGGAGAGAGGCGCCGCUGGCAGCUUGGAGGUCGCCAACUUCCGGAUGAGAAUCGGCAUGGUUGAUGUCACAUCUGUACAGAACACUAUGGCACAUUGUUGUGAUGUAUCACGUUCCAGCCUCUUACUCAGAUGGUAAAUCUCAAGAGUUGGACCUCGGUGGGAUUUUGGUAAAUGGAGAUGUACUUAUAGGGGGAGUUAUUCCUCUUCACAUUGACAAACAAUACCCAAUGGUUAACUUUCAGGAGAAGCCCCCACCGGACGUCUGCACAAUGUUCCGCUUUGAACACUACCAGCAGUUCCAGGCCAUGAGGUUUGCAGUAGAUGAGAUCAAUAGCAGCCCUGACCUCCUCCCAAAUACCACCCUGGGAUUCUAUGCUUAUGAUUCAUGUGCUGUCCUGCAGAGGGAGAUUGAGGGCACUCUGUGGAUGCUCACGGGCCUUAAUAAAGCCAUACCCAAUUACUGCUGUCUUCAGAGUCCACCUCUGACUGCCAUCAUCGGUCACUCAUCAUCCACUUACUCCAUCCUUAUGGCUCAUAUUCUGGGAUU